rnacentral:lncRNA from 1 species
CAGGGUCAUAUGGUACAAACCAGAAGGCCAAAUUUCUCCCUGGGGAAAGCAAGAGACUACGUGAAGAAUUAUGAGUAUAUAUCAAAAGGACUCAGGAGCUGGCUGGAAGAGGACCCGAGAAGCCAAUCAUAAGACAAUUUGAGCAUCCAAAAAAAGAGAAGGCAAUGUAUUACAACCAUGAAUGAAAAAGAAUAUAUGAGGAAAAUUCAGAGCCAUGAAAUGAUUUGCCCGUUAAAAGUCACUCAGCUGGAAAGCGGCCGACAGGUGUGAAAGGAAACACGAAAGAUCUUUCUUCCUCAUCCCAAGAAGCAGCACCUACCACCAUUCUCAACAAGAAAUAUCUAUGUUAUGGUCACCGACAAGAGUUUACCACCUCGCAACGUCGUGUUGUUACUGAAUUGUUUAUUGUCAGUCUCCCCAGUGUGCACGUUGGCUCCAAGACUGAGACUUCCUCUCUCUUUUCGUCUCUCUAUCUUGGGAAUCUAGAAGGGUGCCUAGCACAUUUGUUGAAUGAAUGAAUAAAGGAAUGAGUUUUUCAAAUGUCGAUUAUGUAAUAUCUCAUUUUUCUCCUCUUUUGAAUAAGGGAAAUAACAUCUCUCUUACAAGAAUAUUGUGAAGAUUAGGUGAUAAAAGAUAGGAAUAUUCCCAACCUCAUUAUUAGAAAAAUAUUGGUUCCAUUUUCUCUCCUCUAAAGAGUGGUUCUCCA